rnacentral:lncRNA from 1 species
UGUUGUUUAUCUUGCAUAUUAAAUGUUGAGCCUAGCACCGAUACCAUAUCUCUUUAUUACUUUACUUAGUUGGUUGCAUACCCAGUAUCAUAUUUUAGAAGUAGAGUGGUUUUGUGAUUAUUUGUGAGAUUUAUGACCUAGUCGGUCAGUGCGUUGCAUCUGGUAUUGUGACCUAGUUUGUCGAUUAUUGUAUCUAGUAUCUGUGACCUAUUCGGUUGGCUUACUGCAUUGUUAUCGUGACCUACUUGGUCGGUUCGACUACUUAGUGAUCUAUACGGUCGGUAUGCCCUGAGGGGCAGGAUUGUCGGCUGGUUGCCGACGGUUGGCUAUUGAGCAUAUCAGCAUUGAUCGCCCGAGACUCGUACGCAUUUCACGAACACUAGCGGUCUGAUCUACCGCGAGACGGUAUUCUUCUCCGAAAAAGUGGUUGGGCGUGCCAACCUGUGAGCCCAGCGGCCUAAGUUGGGUUAUAUGCAGGUAGAGAGGCAGUGGCACACGCUUGAGGUCUGUGGACCGAUAUGGCAGGUUUCAGAUUGGGUAUAUUUGGACUUAUCGUCCAGUUGCAUUCAUAUAGUAGCGGUAGUUGUUCAUUUAUAUAUCUCGUUCUUUUAUCGAUCGUUGCUACUGUAUUACACUUACCCAUACCUUUGUUUAUUCUACUCGACUGGUGAGUACCCCUCAUCCUCGUCCUAGUGGGACGGAUCGUGAGGAGCGUACUUAGUGAUCAGUAGAGCCACAGUCCCGUUAUUCGGUUUAAACUCUUAAACUCUGUUUCCUUCGAUAAAUAACUUAGACAGCAUUUAUGGUUCAGUAUUUCCUGUUAAUUGAAUAAUUGAGAUCUUAUGAAUGUAAUAAAGGAUUUGUGAUUCUUAUAAAUUGAAAAUAAUUUUCUAUUCCUCGUGGUAGCGAGUUUUAAAAAGGAAAAGAUUUCCGUGUGGAAAAUAGUUUUUAAAAGGUUUACUUGGUUUUCAUGACUUAGUGUUUUAAAACGAAUUUUCGGAUAGGAAACAUUUUAAACUGAUAGUUGUGAAUUUAUGGAUAAUUCUGAAUGUGAAUGUGAAUGUGAACAGUGUAUGAAUAUGUAGAUGUUCAUAUGUGUGGUUGUAUCCUGUAUCGUGAAUCUUGUAUCUUGUACUUGUGCGACGCCGUACAAAUAGAGGGAAGACUCUGUCUGUGUGAACAGUUAAUUUUCUGUAUUUGUAACGGCUCUGGCAUACCCUGGGGGUCAGGUUUUUCAAAAAAAAAUUUUGGGCACUUCCGCAAUGACUUUUAAACCAAAAACGAACCCCGGGGCGUGAUAGAGGCUGGUUGUGCCGAGUCACAAUCGAGACCCGUGGGCACUGUAUCUGUACGCUUUAAGUGAAUUGGUUGCGUAUUUCUAACAGCUCGAGCUUUUGGGAUUAAUGGUUAGCGCAAAAAAUCCGACAAGUGGUAUCAUAGCCAGUGGUCACGGGUUUGAUUCCCGCAUACUGCAAAUGUGUGCAUGUGCUGGAGGGAGGAUUGUUGGCUUAAAUAGGUCAGCAUCCUGCCAUGUGGGCCGAGUCAUGUUCGAAAUGGCGUGAGGCUGGGUUGGGCCAAGUCAUAUUCGAAGUGGCGUGAGGCUAGUUGGGUCGAGUCACAAUCGAGACCCGUGGGCGCUGUAUUUGUAUGCUUUAAAAGUGAAUUGGUUGCGUAUUUCUAAUAGCUCGAGCUUUUGGGAUUAAUGGUUAGCACCAACGAUCCGACAUAAUGUACCUCUCUGGUGGAAUGAAGUCACCGCAAAGAACUUAGUGAUCCUCAUAAUAUCUGUAAAACUAAGGCACUACAGAGUUAAAAUAAAGGAAUGGUGCCGGUCGAAUUUCUACAGCAUAGCUAACUGUAAGAAGCUCUUGCAGGAGGAACUACAAAAAAUUGACCAAUUAGAGAAACAACUGGACCUGACUAAGGAAAUUCAGGUUAAGCGUGCAGACAUAAAAUUGCAUCUUCAGCAAAUUUUGGAGGAGAAAAUUCUUUGAAAAACCAGGACCAAAUAGCUUUGGCUUAAGGAAGAAGAUGGUCACUCUAAAGAUUUUUACGCGGUGGCUAACGAAUGAAAACACACCAACACAAUUGAAGUAAUAGGGGAUGACGCCGUGCGAAAAUUAAACAACAAAGAACAUAAGAGAUCAUACUUCUACCAUAACUUUUGAUGACUAUUUGGACAGCAAUAGGAGAGAUUGUAGCCCGAUGGAGAUUGGAGUGCGCUCUAUCUCUCUAACAGAUUGCUUCGCCCUGAGCUUCUAAUGUCCCUAUUCGACAUUGAGGAAGUUAAGAAUGCAACUUUCCAAAGUAGGUUUGGCUACAUGGUGGGUUGCUUGGACAGAGAGGAACGACAUUAUCUUCCGAGCGAAACUCCCUAACUCUUUCCGAUCGCCGAACGCGUAAAAACUUCUGAUAGCCACCUAGAACGCGCUCCAUCGAUUCCGUUUCUUUUUUUUUUUUUUUUUCCUUUUGCAAUUAGUCUUUUCUUCUAUCUUCCUCCUAUAUUUUGUUGUCCUAUGUUUUAUUACUUUCUCUUUCUUUUCGGAGGCCUUGGCUAAUUCCUCUUGUAAGCUUAGUUUAUUUUUCUUAAUGAAUGAAGCGGGUAGCUCGCUACUUAUUUCUGAAAAAAAAGAAAAAAAAGAAAAAAAAAGUGUUGCCAUGUGGUGUGUCCACAUUGGCGGGUCUUAAUUUAACCCGAUCUAUUUAAGAUGUGGAUUAAAAUUUAUCCUAAUAUGUUAAGGAUAAGGAUGAAUUAUACGUUUCUUAUUAGUUAAGAAACGUAUCUCCUAUUGGAUAUGUAUUAUAGAUUUUCUGAUCCUAAUCUCUUUGCGAGAUUCAGGAUAUUUUAGGGGUUCUGUUAUUCUCUAAAUACGCCCCCUUUUCUCUUCCAUGAGAGACGAUCGAGUACGAUCUAAUUCGAUAAUCCACGAAAAAUCUUCCUUCUUUUCUCUCUCUUCCUCUCUGAGAUUUCCACCUACGUUUCCGGUGUUUUGGAGUGUGGACAUAGAAGAGGACUCUGGUAGCCCUCUUUGAUUGACAUCCGUCGCAUCAGAUCCGCAUCCGAUCUGUGACGUAAGGCGUACGUGUGGGAGAAUGCGAGAAAAAUGGGAGAUCCAGAAGCAUCGAGACAAGGACGAUCCAAGAAGGCUUGUAAAACAAGCAAUCCGAUCUCAUUCCGGUUUCCGGAUACAUUGGCUAUCUGGUUUGUAAGUUUCCACUCCCUAUUAUUUUCAACGAUUGGUAUCAGAGCGAUGUGUGCUUGUUUUCGCCUUGUGAUCAUGCCUGUGAUGUUUUUUAGGCCGCAUUCGUUGAUCAAUUUUUUGGUAGAUUGGUUCUACAAAAUUUUUUUGUUUUCUAUGUGAAAUCUGUAGCGUUUUUGAACUUUGGAUAUGAUUGGCUUCAGUGUUAGUGACUCGUCGACACAUCUGGAGAGUGUCGGACUGAGUCGAAGUCGUAUUCGCGCGAAAUGGAUGCAGAAAUGGACUCGGCGCACUCAAAUAAGAAAAACUGUAGUUUUGCCAGAUUCGGGCGCCCAGAACUGGCCUUGGGUCGCCUAGAAGUUGAGUGCAGAACUGAGCAGAACUGGAAGCCAAUUCGGGUCCAUGUUUCGGGCGCCCGGAUGAGGGUCCGAAAAGUUCACCUCGUGAGUAUCGUUUGCGCUGACACGUGGCUGGUGGUUGGUGAGGUCCGGUGGAGCCGGAUACGGGCGCAGCACACCGCGGGCGGAGAGUCCGAGGAGGAAGCUUUGUGUAGCCUGGAGGAUUCAGGCGCCCAUAAUGUGGGUCCGGGUACCCGGAAGUGCCCGAGUCUGCAGGGACGCCAGAUUGCUGUUCUUGGGGCUUAUUUUACCAUUCCAGCACCCUAUAAAUAGGUGGAGAGUGACCCUGGUGAGCUCUUUUCACUCUCUCUUCACAGUAGCACCUCAGAUUUCUCCUCCACUCCUCGAAUUUCCUCAGAUUUCAUCCAAUCUUUCAAUUGGAAGGUGGUGGAGUGCUGAUUCUGCAGUCUUUCCAGCGACGACCUUCGGUGUUUUGGCUCGUGUGCGACGUAGGAAGGUCGGAUUGUGGUGAAACUUGGUUUGCUGGAUUCUAGACUUCCAGAGGGAUCCACGAAGCCUAGAAUUGUUGAUUUUGGUUGAGGUUAGCUUGGUCGAUUUCAUAUUUUUCUAGACUGCUGGUGACUUUGAGCUGAAAAUCUAUUUUCUUUUUUUGGUUUUCUUGAUGCUAUCUUCGGAAGCAGGGGAAGUUUGGACCUGAGUUAGAUAUCUCAGUUUACUCCACUGGAUUUAAGACCCUCCUCAUUAGAUGGACAUGUGAUUAGGUGAGUUUUGUCUUUGGAGUUGGGUUAUUUAAGCUUAAGUGCUGAAAUUAGCAUGGUCAUUGAUGCAACUUGGUUAUCUUAGGUUCAGAUCUUGGGAGAAGGGUAGUCUUGAACCUGAGAAACUUUCUACAUCCAAUUCAUUGCUGAGGGAACCUUGCUACUGCUGAUUUGAAGGUAAUCUAGUGAAAUUAGCAUUGUAUUUGAGCUAAUUUAAGCUUAAGUGCUUAAUUAUUUGUGGUUUUCGACGCUAGAUCCUUCAAGUAUUCCGGUUGCUAUUUUGGGUGAUUUCGGCUGAGUCUCGCAGCAGUUCCGAGAUCUCCUUACUGCCAGGAAAGAGCAUUUGAGGUGGGUGUUUCAUCGGUUUUGUUCCUAAGUGCUUGUAGUCGACAUGUAUGAUUUCGGUUCUUGUAUAUCAUGUUGUAACUCAAAUUCGUUGAUUAUAGCAUGUAUGAAAUCUGAAUUGGGAGCAUGAUUAUUAAUUAGAUGAAUAUACAUAUGAUUAUUAAUUAGAUGAAUAUACAUGUUGGACUUGGAACUUGACUUAGGAGAAAACCAGCGAUUCGAUCUGUCAUAUGAUUCUACUACCUGAUUUUGCUCUGGGAGCUGUGGUUUGAUUGUAUCACUGCUGUUUCAGCGCGGUGGAUACCCGUAGUAGUUUAAAAUGCAUUUACGCUCGUGCUGGGAUGCCGAGCUUAUUUUUACAACAGAGUCUAGGCUGUUUCAGGUUGUCGGGUACCGUCGGGGUGGACGGUGGACCCAGAUUUUUAUUUUUGGUCUCAGAUGGUGCCGAGGGCAUGUGGUUUUGGUUUCUAGACCUGUUUUGACGCUAGCUACUUGACUUUGGCUUGUUAGAGCCUGAUUGAGCUCGAUAGAGAUACGCUGCAUACUCGGUUGGGUAGCUCCCACGAGUGCCACUCCGGAAACGGGCGCUGUACUUUUGCAUUGGUGUCGUUCGUGCAGGUUGGACUUUCUCUCCACGGACUGGUUAGUGUGGAGGUAGCUGUAUAGUCGCGACCGGGCGGGACGGGUGUGUUCACAGUCCUAGGGACGGGUAUGAUUACAGUCCUUAUUUGAGAUUGGGUCUGAGUUUACACUGUUCUACAGAUGGUUAGAUUUAGAGCAUGAUAGUAUAGUGACAUAUAGCUGUAGAUUUGUUCCAGCUUUUUUUACUAUUCUUGCUUAUCCCUGUAGACUUAGUGGGUGAACCGAUGAGUUUGAGGGCAGUACCCACUGAGGACUACUUAUUUUUACAGUAGUUCUCACGCCCUGUUGUUACCACUGUUUUUGUAGAGCCGUCGCCUUAGGCUGCUGCUGUUGCUGAUCUUGAUCGUGGCAAGGGCGUCGCGAGUUAGAGCCCUUCCAGUCGAGUCGCAGAGCUAGAGGAGCACCAGCUACAGGUAGUUGUAGUUUUUGGGUCUUUACAUAAAGUUGCUGUAUCUCGUCAGAGCGAGUGUUUGUUUACCUGGAUGUCAUGUAUGUAUUGAACCACAGUUUAUAUAUUUAUUUUAUUUUUUUUCCUAGCUGCUCUAUACUACUGUUUUUAGUAUUGUAUGAUUACAGGUACUUCUAUUUUUUUGCUUCGUAUACAGGAGAAAUACCUAUGUAUACGGCGGGCCUGUUAACGAGCCCGGAGAAACGUGUAAUCCGGAGCGUGACAGAUUAAGUUGGUAUCAGAGUUUAGCUGUAGAUCGUUAGGAUCUAGGAAACCUAAGUUUGGCAAAUUUUAGGAGGGCAAGACGCGAGAGGCGUGAUUUAUCGCGAAAGUCACUGAUUAAUUGUUCUAACUCCUCCUGAAGCGGAGGGAGUGAUUGAAGGAGUUUCUGUUUCGGUUCAGAAUAAUUAUGUCGGCUGCAGACGACAUAAUUUUUAGGAGAAACAGGGUCCGCCUUCUAGACUUUCGUUUGAUUGGGCCGAGAGUGUUUCUGUUGUAUCUGACCCCUGUUUUGUUCGUUACAGUUAUAUAUCGUCACCGAGGUCGACCGUCACUCGGGGAUCGCGCCGCAUCGUCUGAGAUGCCUAAGCAGGCAGAGCCGAGUGCACCCCCAGAGGCGAGAGCAUCCCCUGAUUUGAGUGCACAGAUAGCCGCCCUGACAGAGGUGAGGAGGCGGCAGGGGGAGUUGUUGGAGAGGUUGUGUUAGAGGGUAGCUACGCCACAGGGUUCAGUACCGAGAGCACCAGAGCCGUCAGUUCCACCUCCGACAACACCAGCCGCAGUUGUACCACUGCCAGUGGAUAUUCCCACAGCACCAGUUGCGCCUCCUAGAGGGCCGGUACAGAUGACUGAGGCCGAGCAGNAGAUUUUCUGAUCCUAAUCUCUUUGCGAGACUCAGGAUAUUUUAGGGGUUCUGUUAUUCUCUAAAUACGCCCCUUUUUCUCUUCCAUGAGAGACGAUCGAGUACGAUCUAAUUCGAUAAUCCACGAAAAAUCUUCCUUCUUUUCUUUUUUCUUCCUCUCUGGGAUUUCCACCUACGUUUCCGGUGUUUUGGAGUGUGGACAUAGAAGAGGACUCUGGUAGCCCUCUUUGAUUGACAUCCGUCGCAUCAGAUCCGCAUCCGAUCUGUGACGUAAGGCGUACGUGUGGGAGAAUGCGAGAAAAAUGGGAGAUCUAGAAGCAUCGAGACAAGGACGAUCCAAGAAGGCUUGUAAAACAAGCAAUCCGAUCUGAUUCCGGUUUCCGGAUACAUUGGCUAUCUGGUUUGUAAGUUUCCGCUUCCUAUUAUUUCCAACGAUUGGUAUUAGAGCGAUGUGUGCUUGUUUUCGCCUUGUGAUCAUGGCUGUGAUGUUUUUUAGACCGCAUUCGUUGAUCAAUUUUUUGGUAGAUUGGUUCUACAAAUUUUUUUCGUUUUCUAUGUGAAAUCUGUAGUGUUUUUGAACUUUGGAUAGGAUUGGCUUCAGUGUUAGUGACUGGUCGACACAUCUGGAGAGUGUCGGACUGAGUCGAAGUCGUUUCUGCGCGAAAUGGAUGCAAAAAUGAACUCGGCGCACUCAAAUAAGCAAAACUGUAGUUUUGCCAGAUUCGGGCGCCCAGAACUGGCCUUAGGUCGCCUAGAAGUUGAGUGCAGAACUGAGCAGAACUGGAAGCCAAUUCGGGUCCAUGUUUCGGGCGCUUGGAUGAGGGUCUGAAAAGUUCACCUCGUGAGUAUCGUUUGCGCUGACACGUGGCUGGUGGUUGGUGAGGUCCGGCGGAGCCGGAUACGGGCGCAGCACACCGCGGGCGGAGAGUCCGAGGAGGAAGCUUUGUGUAGCCUGGAGGAUUCGGGCGCCCAUAAUGUGGGUCCGGGCGCCCGGAAGUGCCUGAGUCUGCAGGGACGCCAAAUUGUAGCAGCUGUUCUUGGAGCUUAUUCUACCAUUCCAGCACCCUAUAAAUAGGUGGAGAGUGACCCUGGUGAGCUCUUUUCACUCUCUCUUCAUAGUAGCACCUCUGAUUUCUCCUCCACUCAUCGAAUUUCCUCAGAUUUCAUCCAAUCUUUCAAUUGGAAGGUGGUGGAGUGCUGAUUCUGCAGUUUUUCCAGCGACGACCUUCGGUGUUUUGGCUCGUGUGCGACGUAGGAAGGUCGGAUUGCGGUGAAACUUGGUUUGCUGGAUUCUAGACUUCCAGAGGGAUCCACGAAGCCCAGAAUUGUAGAUUUUGGUUGAGGUUAGCUUGGUCGAUUUCAUAUUUUUCUAGACUGCUGGUGACUUUGAGCUGAAAAUCUAUUUUUUUUUUGGGUUUUCUUGAUGCUAUCUUAGGAAGUAGGGGAAGUUUGGACCUCAGUUAGAUAUCUCAGUUUACUCCACUGGAUUUAAGACCCUCCUCACUAGAUGGACAUGUGAUUAGGUGAGUUUUGUCUUUGGAGUUGUGUUAUUUAAGCUUAAGUGCUGAAAUUAGCAUGGUCAUUGAUGCAACUUGGUUAUCUUGGGUUCAGAUCUUGGGAGAAGGGUAGUCUUGAACCUGAGAAACUUUCUACAUCCAAUUCACUGCUGAGGGAACCUUGUUACUGCUGAUUUGAAGGUAAUCUAGUGAAAUUAGCAUUAUAUUUGAGCUAAUUUAAGUUUAAGUGCUGAAUUAUUUGUGGUUUUCGACGCUAGAUCCUUCAAGUAUUCCAGUUGUUGUUUUGGGUGAUUUCGGCUGAGUCUCGCAGCAGUUCCGAGAUCUCCUUACUGCCAAGAAAGAGCAUUUGAGGUGGGUGUUUCAUCGAUUUUGCUCCUACGUGCUUGUAGUCGACAUGUAUGAUUUCGGUUCUUGUAUAUCAUGUUGUAGCUCAAAUUCGUUGAUUAUAGCAUGUAUGAAAUCUGAAUUGGGAGCAUGAUUAUUAAUUAGAUGAAUAUACAUGUUGGACUUGGAACUUGACUUAGGAGAAAACCAGCGAUUCGAUCUGUUAUAUGAUUCUACUACCUGAUUUAGCUCUGGGAGCCGUGGUUUGAUUGUAUCACUGCUGUUUCAGCGCGGUGGAUACCCGUAGUAGUUUAAAAUGCAUUUACGCUCGUGCUGGGAUGCCGAGCUUAUUUUUACAGCAGAGUCUAGGCUGUUUCAGGUUGUCGGGUACCGUCGGGAUGGACGGUGGACCCAGAUUUCUAUUUUUGGUCUCAGAUGGUGCCGAGGGCACGUGGUUUUGGUUUCUAGACCUGUUUUGACGCUAGCUACUUGACUUUGGCUUGUUAGAGCCUGAUCGAGCUCGAUAGAGAUACGCUGCAUACUCGGUUGGGUAGCUCCCACGAGUGCCACUCCGGAAACGGGCGCUGUGCUUUUGCGUUGGUGUCGUUCGUGCAGGUUGGACUUGCUCUCCACGGACUGGUUAGUGUGGAGGUAGCUGUAUAGUCGUGACCGGGCGGGACGGGUGUGUUCACAGUCCCAGGGACGGGUAUGAUUACAGUCCUUAUUUGAGAUUGGGUUUGAGUUAACACUGUUUUACAGAUGGUUAGAUUUAGAGCAUGAUAGUAUAGUGACAUAUAGCUGUAGAUUUGUUCCAGCUGUUUUUACUAUUCUUGCUUAUCCCUAUAGACUUAGUUGGUGAACCGAUGAGUUUGAGGGCGGUACCCACUGAGGACUACUUGUUUUUAUAGUAGUUCUCACGCCCUGUUGUUACCACUGUUUUUGUAGAGCCGUCCCCUUUAGUUGCUGCUGUUGCUGAUCUUGAUCGUGGCAAGGGCGUCGCGAGUUAGAGCCCUUCCAGUCGAGUCGCAGAGCUAGAGGAGCACCAGCUACAGGUAGUUGUAGUUUUUGGGUCUUUACAUACAGUUGCUGUAUCUCGCCAGAGCGAGUGUUUGUUUACCUGGAUGUCAUGUAUGUAUUGAACCACAGUUUAUAUAUUUAUUUUAUUUUUUUUCCUAGCUGGUCUAUACUACUGUUUGUAGUAUUGUAUGAUUACAGGUACUUCUAUUUUUUCGCUUCAUAUACAGGAGAAAUACCUAUGUAUACGGCGGGUCUGUUAGCGAGCCCGGAGAAACGUGUAAUCCGGAACGUGACAGAUUAAGUUGGUAUCAGAGCUUAGCUGUAGGUCGUUGGGACCUAGGAAACCUAAGUUUGGCAAACUUUAGGAAGGCAAGACACGAGAGGCGUGAUUUAUCGCGAAAGUCACUGAUUAAUUGUUCUAACUCUUGAAGCGGAAGGAGUGAUUGAAGGAGUUUCUGUUUCGGUUCAGAAUAAUUAUGUCGGCUGCAGACGACAUAAUUUUGAGGAGAAACAGGGGCCGCCUUCUAGACUUUCGUUUGAUUGGGUCGAGAGUGUUUCUGUUGUAUCUGACCCCUGUUUUGUUCGUUACAGUUAUGUAUCGUCGCUGAGGUCGACCGUCACUCAGGGAUCGCGCCGCAUCGUCUGAGAUGCCUAAGUAGGCAGAGCCGAGUGCACCCCCAGAGGCGAGAGCAUCUCCUGAUUUGAGUGCACAGAUAGCCGCCCUGACAGAGGUGGCGAGGCGGCAGGGGGAGUUGUUGGAGAGGUUGUGUGAGAGGGUAGCUCCGCCACAGGGUUCAGUACCGAGAGCACCAGAGCCGUCAGUUCCACCUCCGACUACUCCAGCGACAGCACCGGCAGCAGCUGUAUCCCGGCCAGUGGAUAUUCCCGCAGCACUAGUUGCGCCUCCUAGAGGGCCGGUACAGAUGACUAAGGCCGAGCAGGCUCGCUGCUGACGGGGAUACAGAUGACUGAGGCCGAGCAGGCUCGCACUGCGCGGGCCAGGCUCGCUGCUGGAGGCGGCGCGCACUCGCGCGUAGCGCGCGGGCUCGGCCCGCUGUGGACGCGGGCGUGCACCCGCGUGCAUCGCCCCGGCCCGGCUUGCUUCGGGCGCGAGCGCACACCCGCACGCGCCGCGCGGGCCCGGCUCACUGCGUGCGCGGCGGGCACUGGCCUGCACCGUGCGGGCUCACCUUACUGCGGAUGUGGGCGUGCCCCCCCGUGCAUCGCGCGGACCUGGCCCGCUGCNCGAGCAGGCUCGCACCGCGCGGGCCAGGCUCGCUGCUGGAGGCGGCGCGCACCCGCGCGUAGCGCGCGGGCUCGGCCCGCUGUGGAGGCGGGCGUGCACCCACGUGCAUCGCGCCGGCCUGGCUUGCUGCGGGCGCGAGCGCACACCCGCACGCACCGCGCGGGCUCGCCUCACUGCGUGCGCGGCGGGCACCGGCCUGCACCGCGCGGGCUCAGCCUACUGCGGAUGCGGGCGUGCCCUCGCAUGCAUCGUACGGACCUGGCCCGUUGCGGGCGCGGCAUGCACCCCCGCUCACAGCGCGGGCUUCGCCUGCUGCGGACGCGGGCGAUCCUCAGCGUGCAUCGCGCCGGUCCAGUCUGCUCCGGGUGCGGGCGCAACCCGUGCGCACAGCGCGGGCCUGGCCUGUUUUGGGCGCGGGCACGCACCCGCAGGCUUUGCGUGGACCCGGCCCACUGUGGGCGCGGGUGCGCACCCACCCCCAGAGCAAAGGGCCGGCCCGUUACGGGCUGGUAGGCACUGCCCGGCUUGCUGCUCGCAGGGACCAACCCUGCGGAUUCUGGUGGGCUAGAAGGCUCGGCCCAGCCCGCCGCGCAGUUCAGAAUUGUUUAUAAUGUAUAUAUACAUUCCUGUGUGAUUUAUUUUCUUUUCCUGCGUAGUAAAAUGCCGUUUUUUAGAACAUGCAUGUGUUGUUUGUUUAAUUUAUCAUAUGUGGGUGUAUUUAAAUGCUUAUGUAGCAUGUGAUUGUAUAAAAUUUUUUAGCAUAUAAGUACUUAUGUUAUUUCAGUAUUUUUUUUCAACAAAAUUUAAUUUUGAAAAACGGGUUCGACGUGUGCAGCAUUUCUGUAGAAUAUUCCUUUUCUGAUGUACAUCUUGUAGUGAUGUAGUAUGUUUUAUUAUGCAAAAGUGAUGUAAUAAUUAAGGCCUUGUAAAGGAAUGUGUUUUGCGCAGCGUCGACGUUUUUCAAAUUAAAUUUUGGCAUAAGUGCUCUUUUUUUUUUUAUCUGUGUGAUGAUAUAAUGAGAUAAGUUCUCCUCAUAUAAAUUUUUUUUAGAAAAGGAUGUGUUUUUUCAAAAUGGAUGAGUUUCGACUUUUGGAUAAGUUUCAAAAUUAAUAGAAAAUUAAUAAGAUUGUAAUAUUUUGAACCGACACUGGGUGAUGAUUACGAGCAUCGCGAAGUUUUCGAUCCCGUUGUGUCGAGGAUAAUGUUUCAAUCUUGUUAAUUUUUUGGACUAUGUGCCUAAUGUCCAAACCUAUUUUUUUAAUGUAGUGAGAUGACUUCCAAAAACAUCAUAGCUGAUCUCACCAGGGGUGAUAAGCUAGAUGGAAAAAAUUAUGAUAUUUGGCAUAGAAAAAUGCAAUACCUGCUUAAUGAACAAGGGGUUUUCGUAACUCUCUCUGUCAAAAAACUCAUGCCUGCUGAAGGCACAACUUCUGAGCAUGAAAAAGAGAUUUAUAACAAAUGGUUCAAGGAGGAUCGAAACUGCUCGGUACACUAUGUUGUGUGCCAUGCAAGACGACCUCAUUGGACAGUUUGAAACCUACGAGACUGCCCAGGACAUGGGGGACAAUCUGAAGAUUGCUUUUGGGCAAAUUUCAGCCAUGAAGCUACGUGCCUUAAAUUUAAUAUUUCAACAAUACAUUGAGGACCCGAUGUCUGCCGCAAACGAACCGGCCCCGCCGUAGGGUGUUUCCAGGGCGAGUGGUCAUUCAUGGUAGAGAUAAAAUUUGUUUAUAUUUUAUAUUGAAAUCAGGAUUAUAGGUUCAUGGCUUCCAACAGACUCAAGAAUCUGCUGUUAAUUACCGCACACUUUCGGUGUUAAGGAACCCUCGAUUAAGAGACCAAAUAUAAAUGCUUAUAAUAAAAGAGACAAAACAGGCAAAUAAAAUUUUAUUAAUCUGAUCUGCCGUGUACAUGGCUUAAGCAGGGGCAUACCCCUACUGUACAUGAAUAUUAUCAGACUAAAUGUCCAAUCUAGCGAAGAAGUUUUGAUCCAUUAAAUCCUAAGUAUAUGUAUUAGGAUUCAGUUGGAUCAGAGAUUGACUAGAUCCUAAGUAUAUGUGUUAAGACCUAGUCGAUCUUAGGCUCUAUGUAUUAAAGUCUAAUUGGCUCUAAGUAUAUGUCUUAGAGUCCGAUUAUGUCCACCUUGGUUAUAUGUUCCAAGAUGGAGAUUUGACCAGACCUCAAGUAUAUGUAUUGAGGUGGGUCGAAUUACCCGAAAGUAGAGAGUGGCUAAUUUCUGAGUAUAUGUAUCAGGAUUAACCGAGUUUCACUCUAGUUAUAUGUGCUAGAAUGAAGGUCUGACUAAGCCCUAAGUAUAUGUAUUAGGGGUAGUCGGAUUUGAACUCUAAGUAUAUGUAUUAGAGCUCGAUCGGGUAAGGAUUUCACUCUAGGUAUAUGUGCUAGAGCAAAAGGCUGACUAGACCCUAAGUAUAUGGGUUAGGACUAGUCGAGCACGGUUUGACUUCCACUCUAGGUAUAUGUGCUAGAGCAAAAGACUGACUAGACCCUAAGUAUAUGUGUUAGGGUUAGUCGGAUGAACUCUAAGUAUAUAUGUUAGAGUUCGAAUAAAGUUGAUAUCAUUUGACUGAAUUCUAAGUAUAUGGCUUAGAACUCUGUCGAUUUGGAGAUGUUUCGCCUUAGUUAUAUGUGCCAAGGCGAUUGACAUAGCCCUAAGUAUAUGUAUUAGGGGUAGUCGAUAUUUAAUUUUUACUCUAGGUAUAUGUGCCAGAGUAAAAAAAGGUUCACGAUGAGAUUUGGGUAUUGGUUCAUGAGAUUUGAGUAUUGGCUCAUGAGAUUUGGUUCAUGAAUUUGGAUAUGGUUCAUGAAUUUGGUGUAUGGACUUGGUUCAUGAACUUGGAUAUGGUUCAUGGAUUUGGUGUAUGGAUUUGGUUCAUGGUUCAAGGAAUUUGGGUUUAGUUUAACGACUUUUCGGUCGUUUGGAUUUGGGUUUAGUUUAACGACUUUUCGGUCGUUUGAAAUUUGGGUUUAGUUUAACGACUUUUCGGUCGUUUGAAAUUUGGGUUUAGUUUAACGACUUUUCGGUCGUUUGAAUUGGAGAGGCUCUGGAUUUUGGGGUUUUAUUUGUAGACUUAAGGUUUUGGGAUUUAUUUGUAGACUUUAGGUUUUAGGAUUUAUUUAUGGACUUUAGGUUUUGGGAUUUAUUUAUGGACUUUGGUUUUGGGAUUUAUUUGUGGACUUUGGGUUUUGGGAUUUAUUUGUGGACUUUGGUUUUGGGUUGGCUUAAACCUCUUGUAUUUGAUUUGGAAUGAAUCGUUAUGCUUUGAUUCGAGACUCAUCAAGACUUGGUUUGAAAGGGGCAACCCAUCAAGACUUGGUUUGGGUCGAACCCUGAUCGGAUUGAACUGAAUUCCGCUCGAAUCAGUUCAAGUCGGAUCUUGUUUGAUUCGGGUUUGGCCCACUUCAGUUCAAGCCGGAUUUUUUAUGGUUUGGUUCGGAUCGGAACACUUCGGUUCGAGUCGGAUCCUUCAUGGAUUGGUUCGGGUCGGACCCACCUUGGUUCGAGUCGGACCCUGAUCGGAUUGAACCGAAUUAUGCUCGAGUCGGUUCAAGUCAGAUCCUGUUCGGUUCGGUUCAGACAGGAUCCGGUUUGAUUCGGAUCCGGUUCGGUUCAGUUUGGAUCGGAUUCACUUUGAUUCGAGUUGAAUUUUGUUCAGUUCGGACCGGAUCUGGUUUGGUUCGGAUCCGGUUCGGCUUAGACCGAUCGGAUUCACUUUGGUUAAUCUUGUUCGGUUCGGUUCAGACAGGAUUUACUUUGAUUUGGUUCAAGUUGAAUUCUUUGUGGUUUGGUUCAAGUCAAACUAGCUUGUAGUUUGAUUUGGUUCGGUUAAUGUCUUUAAUGUCUUUAUGGUUUGGUUUGGAUCCGGUUUAGUUCAGUUUGGUUCGGAUCCCCUUUGGUUCAAGUCGAAUCCUUUAUAAUCUGGUUCGGACCGAAUCCGGUCUGGUUCAGUUCGGAUCGGAUCCGCUUUGGUUCAAGUUGAAUCCUUUAUGAUUUGGUUCAAACGGGAUCUGGUUCGGUUCAAGUCGAAUCCCUUAUGAUUUGGUUCGGACCGAAUCCGGUUCGGUUCCACUUUGGUUCAAGUUGAAUCUUGUUUGGUUCGGUUCAGACAGGAUCCGGUUCGGCUUGGAUCUGGUUCGGUUCAGUUCAGAUCGGAUUUUUGGUUUAAGUUGAAUCCUGUUCGGUUCGGUUCAGACAGGAUUUACUUUGAUUUGGUUCAAGUUGAAUUCUUUGUGGUUUGGUUCAAGUCAAACUAGCUUGUAGUUUGAUUUGGUUCGGUUAAUGUCUUUAAUGUCUUUAUGGUUUGGUUGACGCGGGUCAAGUCUAUCACGAAGACGGCGACCCGGUUUAAUUAGCCUGACUCGGGUCAAGCCUAUCAAGAAGACGGCGACCCGGUUUAAUGAUCCGAACCCCCGACGUCAAGUCCCCCUCUCUGAGAGACGUGCGACCCGGUUUAAUUUAACGAACGGUGGUCAACUAUCGACAAACUCACCCGGGUUAAUGAUCCGAACCCGAGUCAAGCUAUCACGCGAAGACGGCGAUCGUUUAAUUAACCGAGCCCAGAGUCAAGCAUAUCACGAAGGGGGGACGGGCGACCCGGUUAAUGAUUCCGAACCGAGUCAAGCCCUAUCCGAAGACUUCGCGGCACUUGGUUUAAUUAACCGAACCCGGUCAGUCUAAUCACGGAAAGACGGCGACCUGAUUUAAUUAAGACGAACCCGGUCAAGCCUAUCACGAAACGGCGACGCCCGGUUUAAUUAACCGAACCCGGGUCAGCCUAUCACGAGACGGUUGAACCCGGUUUUAAUUAACCGAACCGGGUCACCGAAGACGCGACCCGGUUUAUUAACGAACCCGGGUCAAGUAUCACGAGACGAGCGACCCGUUUAAUGAUCCGAAACCCGGUGUCUCAAGCUAUCACGAAGACGGCGAUUAACCGAACUUCGGGUCAAGCCUAUCACGAGACGGCGACCCCGGUUUGAUUAGCCGAACUCGGUGUCAAGGCUAUCCGAAGGACCGCGGAACCGGUUGAUUAGCGCGACUCGGGUUCAAGCAUAUCACCCAAAACGGCGACCGGAUUUUCAAUUAACCCGAACCGGGUCAAGCUAUCCGAAGACGGCCGAACCCGGUUUAAUUAACCGAACCCGGGAAAGCUAUACGAAGACGCGUGACCGGUUUUUAACGAACCCGGUGCAAGCUAUCACGAAGCACGGCCGAUCUCUCGGUUUUAAUUUAUUCCCCAGCGAUGCAGCACCAAGCCUACUAUCUCGAGAUCUCAGCCACGUCGCCACCACCGGCGUUUUAUCAUGAUCCCCCGCACGUCACAUCUCCGCGGCGGUUCCAAGAUCCCCUUAUCACCGGCACCGGCCCGCAACCAACGCCCGGUUUAACUUAAACCCGAAAACCUGGACGGUGUCAAGCCACUUAUCACGGAAGACGCGACCUUCGGUUUGAUUAGCGGUACUCGGCAGCCUUUAUCACGAAUACCGUGUCGACCGGACGAACAAUAUUAUUAUCCUUCGUGUAUUUUAUGUUAUUAUUUUAUUUUGUUGUAUAUGUCUUCGGUAACCGUCAAUCUGGCAGUUUCUACCGCUCGCCACCAGUUUACUCCUAUUCCCUGUCAAUCCAUGCUUGUUCCUGAUGCUAAUCACUCGAAGACGGCAUAUCACGUUCGCUCUCAACCGUAUAAUGACUCAUAAAGUCCUUUAAUGAGAGCUACAUGAUCACAUGUCAGUAGACCCUUACUGCAACAAGUGCCUCUAUGUCCUUCUCACGAAGACCCGGCUCCCCCCACCACUCAAUCCCCGUCUCACUUCAAUUCGACACAAGGCAAGUCGUCUACCUGGUCGCAGUCGCUUGCCCCCAGUCGCCGGCGCACUAAUCUUCCAUUUUGAUGUUUGGCACCGGGAGGCAUGAGCUUUAUGCCAAUACCCUGGUGCCUAUGAAUGUUAGUAACUUGAUUGACACACCUGUUCUAUCAAUCUUUGACUUGAAUGCGCAUCCAAUUUCCACCUCUAUCACAGAAUUCGACGGUUCGUGAUUGAUCAAACCGACCUCAUACACUAAUCAAGCGACCUACCUAUCUCCUUCGCGCGCCGCCGUUUAUUGUCAACUUAACCUUACCUCGCCCGUCGUAUGGUAAGAAGCAAGACAAGUACAGUGGCGCUAAUCGGCCUCUCUCGCUUGCGCUAAUCCGUCAUCCACACCCGUCUGUUUCUGAACAGUCUGUUGUUGUCUUGAAUGUCAAAUUUGUCAUCCCUCCUCGAGCUCAUCGCUGCUUCACCCUGUCUGAAUCGGUUGUCGGAGUCCGUAGCCCGCGCACGCCGCAAACUAUAAGUUUAGCCGAGCUCCUUAUAUUUUCUCUUCUCUGUAAUGUGCGGCUUCAAGAUUAGCGUGUAACCGGCGGGGUGCUUUGCUGCUGAGUUUACACCACACGCCCACUCCACCUACUCUGUCCUGUUUAUACCCCGCGUCGGCUGACAUCGACAUCAAUGUGCACAGCCCCACUGCGUCAUCCUCCUGCCACGCCAGCGAGCGCACCCCUCUACCGCCUGAUCUCCCGCUCUAACUGUCUCCCGGAGGUCGGCAGCGCGAGGACGGGUCCCUCCCCAUCCACCUCCCGCCCUGCAACGCCACCCCCCACAACGUGAAGUGUUGCCCUGUGUGCACACUUGAUCCGCCAUUAGCCCAUCUCCCUCCCACUCCGAAUGACGAGUAUAGAGACAAUAGAAGAAAAGAUAAAUAUUAUUAUAUUUUACUUCAGCGGUACUGUUAUCUAUUUCUACUUUCUUUUUUUGUUAUCUCACACUUCUUCCUCCUUCCUCUCUUCUCUAGACUCUACUACUGUGCUAAAUAAAACAACACUCACCAUCAGCAUCUCUCUGCGGUAUUCUUCACAUCUAACUACAUGAUAGGAUCAAUAACAUCUCACAUACUCUACUAACUCAUUCAUGACAAUACCUACGGCCUCACUCCUAUAUAUUCUUCUUAGCUUAUUAGCAUUUUAACUACUCGACAUUAAAUCUAUAUUCUAUCAACUCUCCUCCUUCAUUUAUCUUAUUCUGAAUCACAUAUAAAUGAUCCUUUUUUUUCUUUCUCAAUUUCUCCUUUUUCUAACUUUCUCUUGCCCUUCUCUUCUUACUCCCCUUUUCCCAUUCUUUCUUCUAUUUUUUUCCUUUCUUUUGUUUUGUUGUUCUCUCUCUUCCUUUUUUUUUAUCUUUCUCUUUCUUUCUUUCUUCCUUCUCUCUUUUUCCCACCCUCCCUUUCUUUUUUUGUAACUUAUUUCUUUUCUUCCCUAACGAGAAGCGAUGCUAUAUAUCUUUUCUUUUUUUUUUUGCAUUCUACUUUCCUUUUUUCUCCUUUUUUUUUUUUUAAUUCGAACACUCGAAAUAUUUAAUGGCUGAGCACCUCCGUGUGAUGAGCACUAUAAUUCGGGAACUUAAAAUUGCUGGAAACGAGCUCAAUAAUGAGCAACAAUAAGUUCUAGCAGUGAUUCGUUCACUACCUGAUCCUGAAUGGUUCCAGAUGAAGCUCCUGAUGACGCACAACGAGAACAUUAAAACGUUUAAUGAUAUCUCGCGUCAUCUUGAGCUCGAGGCAGAGCGCUUGGAAGCGAAUUGUUCUGUCGCUCUUGUUGCACACUCCGAGAAACGCAGUGGGAUCGCACCCAAGCGUAAGAAGCGUUUCAAUAAUCGAGCACAGAAGAGUCGAAAUCAAGUUUCCUGUGGUGGAGUUGGGAAAUUUCGCAGAGUCAUUUUGAUAGAGAUCGUCUUCACAUUUUCUUUUAUGGUACUUUAUUUGGAUAUGGUACAUUAGUUUAUGAUUUUUUUAAAUUAGAUUUGGAGGAUGAUUUGUUUGCAUUUGCUUCUUCUUCUUUUUCUAAUCUCUGUGAUGAAUCUGUUAAAUGACAUGCCAGAUUAGGCCAUAUAGGUCAAGAUAGAAUGAAUAGAUUGGCUCGAGAAGGCCUUUUAGGGUCUCUCGCCAAAGUUGACCUAUCUGUGUGCGAGCGUUGUCUGGCUGGGAAGGCAUGUAGAAACCUUUUGGUAAGGCUACUCGUGCCUCUUAUCCUUUAGAGCUGAUCCACUCAGACAUUUGUGGGCCAAUGAAUGUGAGGGCCUGGCAUGGUGCGUGCUAUUUUCUCACAUUCAUUGAUGAUUAUUCCCAUUAUGGAUAUGUGUAUUUGCUUUGUCGCCGAUCUGAAGCUUUAGAUUGCUUCAAGUGCUUCAUUGCAGAGGCUGAGAAUCAAAUAGAAAGAAGUGUAAAGGCGCUUCGCACUGACCAAGGUAGUGAGUACUUGUUUGAUCAGUUUAAGACUUAUUGUGAGAAAAAAAAAGGCAUUAGUAGAUAGCUCACUAUUCCUGGUACUCCGCAACAAAAUGGUGUUGCAGAGCAAAGGAACCGUACUCUAUUAGACAUGGUUAGGUCGAUGAUGGCGCAAGUGCAACUUUCGAUAAAUUUUUGGGGAGAUGCUCUUUUGACUGCAGCCUACAUCCUUAAUCGAGUCCCUAACAAAUCAGUGCCUACUACUCUAUAUGAGUUGUGGAGUGGUAGAACACCAAGUUUACACUAUUUAAGGAUGUAGGGGUUCAGCUGGAUAUGUUCACAGCCCCUCACAUAGAUUCGAAAAACUCGGCCCUAGAGCGAGCAAGCAUGUGUUCAUCAGGUACCCUGAAAAUUCGAAGGGUUAUGUGAUGUAUUGUGAAUACCCAGAUGGUGGUAUGACCGAGAUUGAGUCUCGUGAUGUGAAAUUUCUAGAAGAGGAAUUCCCAAGCAUUGGUGAAAUGCGAAGAGACGUCGGAUUGUAUGAGUUACAGGACAACGCUACCCCAUCUGCUAUUGAGGGUGAUCGAUCACUUCCCGAAGUCGCUGAAGGAAGUGGUAGCGAUCCUCCGGCUAGUGGGAGUGCUUCCUUGAAUGAGAGCAUACCCUUGGAAGUCGGCAGUUCGGACCCUCUAUUGCGUAGAAGUGAACGUGGACAUAUUCCCCGUCGACAUUUUAAGAUCAAAGGGGAUAUUUUCAUGUGCACUCCGCUCGAUGAUGAUGAACCUGCUUCAUAUAAAGAAGCACUACAGACGUCAGCUUGCAAUGAGUGGAUGGCUGCUAUGAAAGAUAAGAUGGACUCCAUGAGCAAAAACCAAGUAUGGGAAUUGGUUGACCUUCCGCCUGGGCGCAAGUCUAUUGGAAAUAAAUGGGUUUUAAAAAUUAAGCGCAAGACGGAUGGAUUAAUCAAUAAAUACAAGGCUCGGUUCGUGGCCAAGGGCUACACUCAGAGACAAGGGGUAGAUUACAAUGAGACGUUUGCUCCCGUUGUGCAAUUUGCCUCUAUUCGUUUGAUUCUAGCCUUAGUGGCACACCUAGAUUUGGAAUUGCUCCAAAUGGAUGUCAAGACAGCUUUUCUCAAUGGAGAAUUAGCAGAGGAGAUUUAUAUGGAUCAACCUGAGGGUUUUGUACUCAAAGGUGAAGAAGACAAAGUUUGUCGUCUUAAAAGAUGCAUUUAUGGUCUCAAGCAGUCGUCGAGACAGUGGUAUUUCAGAUUUCAUGAAGCCAUUACCUCUAUUGGUAUGUCUAUGAUAGAGAAGGACCACUGUGUAUAUGUCAAGAAGACAGAGAAAGGAAUUUUGUUCUUCUCCCUAUACGUCGACGACAUAUUAUUGGCUGGAAAUGACAUGGAGCUAAUCAAUACCACUAAGGAGUGGUUGUCUCUCAACUUUGAAAUGAAAGACAUGGGUGAGGCAAGUUAUAUGCUCGGAGUAAAGGUCAUCUGUGAUCGCUCUAGAGGGCUUCUUGGUUUGUCUCAAGAAACUUAUAUUAAAAAGAUUCUAGAGCAUUUUAGGAUGCAUAAUUGUAAACCCGUUGACACUCCAGUGGAGAAGAAUCACACUUUGAGCCUUGAUCAGUGCCCUAAAACAGAUAAAGAAAAAGGAGCAAAUAAGUAGGGUUCCUUAUGUGAGUGCAAUUGGUAGCUUGAUGUACGCUAUGAUGUGUACUCGACCUAACAUUUGCUUCGCUGUUGAUUUGGCAAGUCAUUACCAGAGCAACCCAGGACCCAUUCAUUGGCAAGCGGUUAAGAGAAUCCUUCGAUAUUUAAAAAAAAUCAGUGAUCUUGUCCUAUGCUUUCAAGAUGGGGACUUGAGAUUGAAAGGAUAUAGUGAUACUAGUUAUGGUGAUGAUAGAGAUGAGUGCAGGUCCAUCUCAGGCUAUAUGUUUGGAGGCGGCGCAAUUUUCUGGUACAAUAAGAAGCAGAGCUGCGUUGCCUUAUCUACUAUGAAAGCGAAGUAUGUUGCUUGAUCAACAGCCAUUUAGGAGGCUGUUUGGCUGAGGAGAUUUCUCUAGAACCUCGACUUUGUGAUUCGAGCUGAUGAACCUGCUGAGAUAUUCUCUAACAGCAUGUAUCAUGACAGGACCAAGCAUAUAGAUAUUCAUUUUCACUACAUUCGAGAGAUGAUUAAGCUAGGCGAGGUCGUUCUUAGACAUAUCUCCACCACUAGGAUGGUGGGCUGAUUUAUUGACCAAGCCGAUAGUCGGGGAUAUGUUCCUGACCCACGUUAGGAGUUUGGGUCUUCGUAGGUUUUGAUUUAUGGACAUUAUUUUGUAUCUUACGAUUUAUUAAUGAAAAUAUGUUUUUCUCCUUUUAACAUGAUUGCGUAAUUGAUACUAGUAGGCAUAUAUUGGAUAAGUCACCAGGCUCAUAUCAGCCUACUCACACGGGUGAUCGCCCUGGCACCUAGAUGGUGAGCAGGAUGAGACUAGAUAAUCAUAUUAAACUUGAGUAGUUAUAAUAUGAUUACUUUGUUCAUAUAUGUUAUGAAUGAAGUGUUAAUAUAAUUUAAGGUCGCCUUAAUUAGUUUAAGAUGAGACUCUAAAGAGUUGGAUAUGAAAUUUCUUUCUGUGAAAUUUCAUAUCGAGCCUGCAUAGUAGCCGAACCUAAGUGCUCAGGUUAGAGAGAUGACUUGAGUUGUGGUGGUUAGAUACCUUAGUGGUACCUAGACCAAGGUUCGUAUGGCGUUUUUUGGAGUGUGACAUGACCCAUUGAGUGGGAGCUCCGCCAUAGCAUACAUAUCAUACUGUAUGUGCUUGUCGACCAGUUAGUAGAGUGACAUAAGCUCUUCCCUCCAUGUCAUUGUGUGAGCACUAACCCUUUUGUGCCCUCGACUUAGAACUACGUUACGAAGUGGAGGUCCAAAGUAACUAACUUAGCGUGUAUUUCAGGGUCAUGAGAAAAUACAAUCUCGCACAGCACGUCUAGUAAAGUGCUUGUACCAAUAAGGAUUAACGUGAGGGGCUGAGGAAGAUGUUUCGAUAACACACUAUGUAAGUCUUGUGACUUAUUGCCCGGGUGGUUAUCUCGGUUGUGUUACUUGAGAUAAUCAUGAGUACGAGAAAUAACGGUGGGGUCGAGCCUUAUCAUUACAGGAGAGGGACUUUGUGAUGCUUGAUCCGGUGUGUGUUGGAACGUUUAGGGCAUAGACGAAUUAAGUCAGUGAUGUGCUAUGUUAGUUGGGUGGUGGCUUAAUAUAGCACUCCUGCAUAUGUUUCUUUCGUCAGGUCGCAUGCUCUACUACCCGUAUGAAGAGAUGAAUGAGUGAGAGAGAAAUAACCAAUAUGGCCAAGUGGGAGAUUGUUGUCAUGUGGUGUGUCCACAUUGGCGGUCUUAAUUUAACUCGAUCCACUUAAGAUGUGGAUUAGGAUUUAUCCUAAUAUGUUAAGGAUAACGAUGAAUUAUACGUUUCUUAUUAGUUAAGAAACGUAUCUCCUAUUGGAUAUGUAUUAUAGAUUUUCUGAUCCUAAUCUCUUUGUGAGAUUUAGGAUUAUUUAGGGGUUCUGUUAUUCUAUAAAUACGCCCCAUUUUCUCUUCCAUGAGAGAAGAUCGAAUACGAUCUAAUUCGAUAAUCCACGAAAAAUAUUUCUUCUUCUCUCUCUUCUUCCUCUCUGGGAUUUCCACCUACGUUCCCGGAAUUUUGGAGUGUGGACAUAGAAGAGGACUCUGGUAGCCCUCUUCGAUUGACAUCUGCUGCAUAAGAUCCUCAUCCGAUCCGUGACGUAAGGCGUACGCGUGGGAGAAGGCGAGAAAUGUAGGAGAUCCAGAAGCAUCGAGACAAGAAUGAUCCAAGAAGGCUUGCAAAACAAGCAAUCCGAUCCGAUUCCGUUUCUCGGAUACGUUGGCUAUCUGGUUUGUAAGUUUCCGCUGCCUAUUAUUUGUGGCGGAUCUGGCAUACUCUAGGGGUCAAGUUUUCAAAAAAAAAAUUUUGGGCACUUCCGCAAUGACUUUUAAGCCAAAAACGGACCCCGGGGCAUGACAGAGGCUGGUUGGGCCGAGUCACAAUCGAGACCCGUGGGCGCUGUAUCUGUACGCUUUAAGUGAAUUGGUUGCGUAUUUCUAACAGCUCGAGCUUUUGGGAUUAAUGGUUAGCGCCAACGAUCCAACAAGUGGUAUCAGAGCUAGUGGUUACGGGUUCGAUUCCCGCAUGCUGCAAAUGUGUGCAUGUGCUGGAGGGAGGAUUGUUGGCUUAAAUAGGUCAGCAUACUGCCAUGUGGGCCGAGUCAUGUUCGCAAUGACGUGAGGCUAGGUUGGGCCGAAUCAUAUUCGAAGUGGCGUGAGGCUGGUUGGGCCGAGUCACAAUCGAGACCCGUGGGCGCUGUAUCUGUAUGCUUUAAAAGUGAAUUGGUUGCGUAUUUCUAAUAGCUCGAGCUUUUGGGAUUAAUGGUUAGCACCAACGAUCCAACAUAAUGUACCUCUCUGGUGGAAUGAAGUCACCGCAAAGAACUCAGUGAUCCUCAUAAUAUCUGUAAAACUAAGGCACUACAGAGUUAAAAUAAAGGAAUGGUGCCGGCCGAAUUUCUACAGCAUAUCUAACUGUAAGAAGCUCUUGCAGGAGGAAUUACAAAAAAUUGACCAAUUAGAGAAACAACUGGACCUGACUAAGGAAAUUCAGGUUAAGCGUGCAGACAUAAAAUUGCAUCUUCAGCAAAUUUUGGAAGAGAAGAAAAUUCUUUGAAAAACCAGGAUCAAAUAGCUUUGGCUUAAGGAAGAAGGUGGUCACUCUAAAGAUUUUUACGCGGUGGCUACGAAUGAAAACACACCAACACAAUUGAAGUACUAGGGGAUGACGCCGGGCGACAAUUAAACAACAAAGAACAUAAGAGAUCAUACUUCUACCAUAACUUUUGAUGACUAUUUGGACAGCAAGAGGAAAGACUGCAGACCGAUGGAGAUUGGAGUGCGCUCUAUCUCUCUAACAGAUUGCUUCGCCCCGAGCUUCUAAUGUCCCCAUUCGACAUUGAGGAAGUUAAGAAUGCAACUUUCCAAAGCAGGUUUGGCUACCUAGUGGGUUGCUUGGAUAGAGAGGAACGACAUUAUCUUCCGAGCGAAACUCCCUAACCUUUUCUGAUCGCCGAACGCGUCAAACUUCUGACUGCCACCUGGAACGCGCUUCAUCGAUUAUUGUUUUCCUUUUCUUUCUUUUUUUUUUUUUUUUUUCCUUUUGCAAUUACUCUUUUCUUCUAUCUUCCUCCUAUAUUUUGUAGUCCUAUGUUUUAUUACUUUCUCUUUCUUUUCGGAGGCCUUGGCUACUUCCUCUUGUAACCUUAGUUUAUUUUUCUUAAUGAAUGAAGUGGGUAGCUUGCUACUUAUUUCUAAAUAAAAAGAAUAAAAAGAAUAAAAAAGAACCAAGUAGAAUAGAUAGGUAAUUGUUAGGGAUCAAUUGGUCCAAUCAAUCCAAUAAGAAAUAAUUUGGCCACUUAAAAGUUACAAUAGUUCGCUUUAAUAUGAUAAAUUUUAAUAAUUAGUUCUUUCCAUUUUUAUAAUUAUUAACCUAUUCAUAAAUUUUAUCAUUUAUGUCCUGAAUUUUUAUCUUAGCAUGGCAACAAACGUUUGUCGACAGUGUAAGCAAGUAGAAGAUUGCUAUUUGCAAAUAAGUCUCACAAUUGUUUAAUUUUAAAAUAUUUUCUUUAAAUACAGAUAAUAAAAUAUCCGCUUUAAUUCAUUACAUGUUGAAUUCCUGAUGGUUUUCUUUUGACAUGCCUAUAAUGAUGUAUUUUUCUGAAUUAAAUUUAUAGUGCCUGUUUGAAUACAUUAGAGGCUUAAACUAAGCCCGUUAAUUAAGGCUUGUACAUUUAAUUUCUAUUCGAUCAGUGAGGGGUUGUUUGGCUCAAGGAGUUAAGUGUUAAUCAGCAUGGACCUUAUUUAUCGUGUCGUAUCGUCUCAACAAGAUAUUGACACGAUAUAGCUUUCAUGCCGACUGUACAGUUCAAAACUUUUCUUUUUUCAGUAAGUGAUUUCUCAAUAAAAUUCAAUAGAUUUUGAUAAAAAUAUAUAAUAAGCAAUUUAAAUAUUUUAUUGUUAAAGAAAAUAAAUAUUUUAUGUCAUUAUCUAUUGGUAUAUAUAUGUACUUUUUUUUUGACCGAUGCACAUCGAUAUAAUCCUACAUGUACCGUGUUGUACUUUGUCUAGUUUCUCAAUAAAUCAUUGAAAAUUAUUUUAAAAUUUUUUUUUCACAAAAAACAUACUUUUGUUAGCUUUUCUUUUUUGGACACAAUUCUAAAAAUGAAAAAGACAUCUUCAUAAAAUUUAGAAAUUUUUGUUUAGAGAAAAGUACUUUUUCUUUUUUAAAAGAUUCAAAACUGUAAAUCAACUAAGUUCGAAUUUGGAAUCUAAGGUUAUCAAUCAUCAAAUUCUUAACCAACUACUUUAGAUAUGGUAAAUAUUUUUCUCUAAUUUUUUAACAUUUUAAAUUAAUAGGCAAACCGCAAUAAACUCGGGCAAAGGCGCACUACAACAAAAACGGUCUAUAGCGACACUUUUAAAUGUCGGUAUAGGUAAAAAAAAGUGCUGCCGGGUAAAUUAGCGACACUUUUAAAAAGUGUUGCUAUAUGUGGGGUCUCUAGGCAUAUAGUGAGAGUUAAAGAGUGUCGCUAUAAUUUAAAAAAGUGCUGCUAAUUUACCAACAUUUAUUUAAACAUCUAGCAAUCGCCGGAACUCUACAUUGUUGGCUGCAGUGGCGGAGGAGGACGAGUGGAAAGGAUCUUCGUCCAGGAUUUCAGUCGAUUGAGUGAGGAGAGAAGGAAAAAUGGUAAUCGAUUUUCUUUUUUUUUUUUUUUUUUUUUUUUUUUCUGUUUGACACUUAUACAAAAGUGUCGCAAACAUGUGUCGCUAUAANUAAAACUAAUUAAGUCUUGAUUCUUUUGCUAUUAUCGGUAGUACACCCUACUUCUCAGUUCUUUGGUGAUGUGAUUAGAUCCAUAUCAGAAAAUUGGGAUCCGCAGCAACCCCUUUUCUCUUCACAAAAGCACAGGGGUUGGGCAUGACAUGACACAUGGGUCAUGCCAAGGAUUAGCAUGGGCAUGCUCUUUUGAACCACAUGCAUUGUAAACUUUGAAGCCCAAGCAGUGAUGGUGGGGUUUGUUACCUUUGCAUUUGGACUCUCUCUCUCUCUCUCUCUCUCUUUGUGUGUAUAUAUAUAUAUAUAUAUAUAUAUAUAUAUAUAUAUAUAGAGAGAGAGAGAGAGAGAGAGAGAGAGAGAGAGAGAGAGAGAGAGAGAGAGUUGAGCUAAAAUGCUAUAGAUAGCAAACCGGCACUUUUGCCACCCAUUUAUUUUCGAUGAUGGAGCCUCCAAAUUAAUGAUCGGCAUCGUUGAACAUGAUCUAUACUAUUUGAAGUAUUUAGAAAUUAAAUUUCAUAUAUUUUCGAUAUUGCUCUCCUAUCCAUUGAGUGGACACAAAAAUAAACGACUGAAAAUGAAUAUUCUUAAAAAAUGAUGAUAGGGGUCUUGUAAUCAAGAUCAAGAGUAUAGAUAUUGUUUUAAAUAGUUUAAAGAAUUUUCUAACCAAAAUUUAAUUUAUUUAGAUAGCUUUACACCGUUAAACGAGAAAACGCCUCACAUACAUCUACCAUUAAAAUUACAAAUUUUGAAACCCUUUGAUCAUUAGGUCAAUGAUGUCGAAAAGAUUUGAAAUUUGAUUUCUAAAUAUUUCAAGUAGUAUAGAUCAUGUUCAACGGUGCCGAUCGUCGAUUUGGAGGCUCCAUCAUCGAAAAUAAAUGGAUGGCAAAAAUGCCGAUUUACUAUCGAUAGCAUUCUAGCUCAACUCUAUAUAUAUAUAUAUAUAUAUAUAUAUAUAUAUAUAUAUAUAUAUAAAACCAGGAUGAUGGUGUACAUUUCAUUCCCCAGAGGACAGUGGCAGGGAAAGAUAAAGCCUAAAGGUGGGGGUAAAAAAGUAAAGCAAGAAGAGAAGAUCAAAGAGAGGAUGAGGUUGCAGGUGGCAAGGACACUACCUUCAUGUGGUUUUGUUUGUUAAACAGUUUACACUUUAAUGAUGCUUGGAGUGGAAGCGAUGUAGUGUGUGAGUGUGUGUGUGUGUGUGUGUGUGUGUGUGUGUGUGUGUGUGUGUGUGAGAGAGAGAGAGAGAGAGAGAGAGAGAGAGAGAGAGAGAGAGAAACUGUUGUUUACAGGAGAAUGUGUGUGUGUGUGAGAGAGAGAGAGAGAGAGAAACUGUUGUUUACAGGAGAAUGUGUGUGUGUGUGUGAGAGAAAGAGAGAGAGAGAAACUUUUUUUUUUUUUUUUUUUGAGAAACAGGUAGCAAGCUAUCUGCUUCAUUCAUUAAGCAACAUGAAUUUAGCAUACAAACUGGAAGCAGCUAGGGCCUCCGAGCCGAGGGGACGAGGAAAAAACAAGAGAACAAAAACCAGGUCCGUGCGACCCAGGAAACAAAAGAAAACCAAAAUAAACAAAAAUGGGAAAACGGAGGGCAAAGCGCAGAUCUCGGGAGAGAAUCAAAGUGCUCCGUUCCAGGCAUCGAUCAAAACGGCGACACGUUCGAGAGCCCGGGAAACAUUAAGAGGUACGUCGCGGAAGCAAAUGCCGUUACGCUCCGUCCAGAUAACCCACCAAAUUGCCGCCAACUUGGUUAAAAUAUUUGAUCUCGUUACAGCCUCGGGAAUGUCCGAGAACUGUGUCCAAAGCUGUCGUACAUCCCCCUCAUCCGAAUCCGCCUCCACUAAGGCUCCUACUUUAAAACGGAGAAAUCUGACAACGAUACAGUCGUGGAAAAGGUGAUCAGCUGUUUCGGGUAGUAGCACACAGAACCUGCAGUGCUGCUCCACAAUGCACCCUCGACGAAGCAGUCUGUCUGCCGUAGGUAAUCUGAGAGAGAGAAACUGUUGUUUACAGGAGAACGUUAGUAAGAGUAAUUGAAGGGAGAUAGUACUCUG